AGUGAACGCUGGCGGCAGGCCUAACACAUGCAAGUCGAGCGGCAGCGGGUUCCCGCGAGGGGAUGCCGGCGAGCGGCGGACGGGUGAGGAGCACAUCGGAAUCUGCCUGGUUGUGGGGGAUAACGUAGGGAAACUUACGCUAAUACCGCAUGAGACCCUGAGUCGACGGACUGGGGGUGAAAGUGAGGGACCUUCGGGCCUCACGCGACCAGAUGAGCCGAUGUCGGANAGCUAGUUGGCGGGGUAACGGCCCGCCAAGGCGACGAUCCGUAGCUGGUCUGAGAGGAUGAUCAGCCACAC
rnacentral:rRNA from 1 species